rnacentral:rRNA from 1 species
CCCUUAGAUGUUCUGGGCCGCACACGCGCUACACUGAAGGAGGCAGCGUGUACUCCUGGAUCGAAAGAUUUGGGUAACCCGCGAAUCUCCUUCGUGCUAGGGAUUGAGGUUUGCAAUUAUCCUUCAUGAACGAGGAAUUCCCAGUAAGUGCAAGUCAUAAGCUUGCGCUGACUACGUCCCUGCCCUUUGUACACACCGCCCGUCGCUACUACCGAUUGAAUGAUUUAGUGAGGACUUCGGACUGGGACCGAUGCGGCUUUCGGGCUGCGUCGGUAUUUCGGAAAGAUGUCCAAACUGUAUCAUUUAGAGGAAGUAAAAGUCGUAACA